rnacentral:rRNA from 1 species
UACGUAGGGUGCGAGCGUUGUCCGGAAUUAUUGGGCGUAAAGGGCUCGUAGGCGGUUUGUCGCGUCGGGAGUGAAAACACCGGGCUUAACUCGGUGCUUGCUUUCGAUACGGGCAGACUAGAGGCAUGCAGGGGAGAACGGAAUUCCUGGUGUAGCGGUGAAAUGCGCAGAUAUCAGGAGGAACACCGGUGGCGAAGGCGGUUCUCUGGGCAUGUCCUGACGCUGAGGAGCGAAAAGUGUGGGGAGCGAACAGG